rnacentral:rRNA from 1 species
UACGUAGGGUGCGAGCGUUAAUCGGAAUUACUGGGCGUAAAGGGCUCGUAGGCGGCCAACUAAGUCAGACGUGAAAUCCCUCGGCUUAACCGGGGAACUGCGUCUGAUACUGGAUGGCUAGAGGUUGGGAGAGGGAUGCGGAAUUCCAGGUGUAGCGGUGAAAUGCGUAGAUAUCGAGAGGAACACCUGCGGCGAAGGCGGGUUGCUGGGCUGACACUGACGCUGAAGCGCGAAAGCUAGGGGAGCGAACGGG